AAGUAGAAGAAGAAGGGUCUCGGAGAACCGCUUUAGCCAAAUGAUCGGCUUCGAAGUUCUCAGACCGAGGGAUGAAAUUGAAAGAGAUAGAUUCAAACAAAGCUGAGAGAUUUCUGAUGUCUGCCACCACACCGAAGAUCUCUUUUUCCAUCAGCUUGCUAGUGAGGGCUCUAAUAAGCGUUUGGUUAUCCGUGAAGACCCUAAGGUUCUCGAUAUCGAUUGAUAAGGCGUGACGAAGACUCGAUCUGCAUGCAAGCGUCUCUGCCAUCAGUGGAGAACUGACAAACUCUUGUACCUCGCUACCUCUCCCGAUCUUCCCUAUCUGACUCGAGAAGAUCCAGCCUAGACCUGCUUGGAGCGAGUCCUUGUUCCAGGAGGCGUCCGAGAAGCAUCGUUAUCCAUUCGCGCACAGUGGUGAUACUGUGGAGGGCUACUUCUUCCGAGGUGAAGGUUCUGUCUUUGAAGAUAAUAUGGUUUCGGGUGAUCCAUAAUUGCCAGCAGAUCCAGGGAAGGAUAUUGACUGAGACUCCCGAUGGCGGUAGACAGAUGGUAUUUCGUGAAGCCUCAAGAGCCGCCGCGAAGUUCUGUUGAACAGCUAGGUGAACUGUGUUUUUAAGAGGCGAGAUCACUGUUGAAACCUCUUCUUUGAAGAUUUUCGCCUAGAGUCCAGAGAGCUACUUGAGUGUGGAGGGUGGCUUACAGUCAUGGCUGAUUGGUAUCCGGACUUAACAGAGUAAAUUCCGGACUUGAGUGGUUGCCCGAUAAAUGCAUCCUCCACUCCCUGUUGACUAGGCCGCAUACACUGAAUUUUAGCUGAGAGGUCAGGUAGUAAUUCCUCAAUUAUUCUUGAAUUCCAUUUGAGAUCAGAAGUUAAGAGGUCUGAGACUCUUAGAUCAGUCAUGUCCUCUGUUAAAGGGCCAUAAGGCUUCAGGUUGCUUGAUAAUGAGAUCCAUGAGUCUUGCCAAAUUUUAGUACUCAUACCGUUUCCUAUGGCUUUUACCAAGUUGUCUUUCAAGAGGUCCCUGCCAUGCAGAAUUCCUCUCCACCCGUGGGAGCAAGAGGAUGGAGCUCUAGCAUCUAGGAAUAGUUAGUUAUGGCAGUAAUUUCCAAGGCGAGUUCUUGCCAGUAGACUAGCUGGAGUUGUUGCAAGACGCAAGGCCAGCUUUGCUAGGAGAGCCUGGUUAAAAAUCUGAAUAUCCUUGAGCCUAAACCACCAACAGCUUUCGGUUGUGAGACAUUAGUCCAUAAAAUCCAACAUAUUUUCUUUGUCUCGUCAUUGCCGUUCCACCAGAAACGAGUUAGGGCCGACUGUAUACGCUUGCAUAAGCUAA